UUCCGCUUCAUUCCGUUCCGUUCAUUUUCAUCCGCCAGACUUUUUGUUCUCCAUUUCAGCACGCCGCGCGUCGGAGAAGGGGAUUUGCCGCGUUUAAGCCGUUCGGUCCACUGCUGAACCUGUCCGUACCACGCGGUUAAUGAUCUCUGAAUAUCGUCUUCAAAAAGUGGAUACCUGCAAGUUUUCAAAGGGGAUCAGCUGCUGUUUUCAAGACUAAGCGCAGCUUGGUUGCUGUAUUAACUUAUUUACAAACUCAAAAUGGAGAAUGAUGGCAAAUAUCUUCCUCAGCUGUUGGCAGAGAGAGACAGCCUGGAUGCAUCUUUCACACACGCCAUGAAACUUUUGUCUGCAGAAAUCGACAGAGUAGAGAAAGGGGAUGGCGAGGACGACGAUAAAGCAACCGAAGCCUACCUGGACCUCUUCACGACGAAGAACAUCAAGCUGAAGGAGCGGGUCCUCAUACCCGUCAAACAGUACCCCAAGUUCAACUUUGUGGGAAAGAUCCUUGGACCUCAGGGAAACACAAUAAAGCGUUUGCAGGAGGAGACGGGUGCCAAGAUUUCAGUCCUGGGGAAGGGAUCCAUGCGGGACAAAACCAAGGAGGAGGGCCUGCGGAAGAGUGGCGAGCCCAAGUACGCACACCUGUCCAUGGAGCUGCACGUGUUCAUCGAGGUGUUUGCGCCCGUCCCAGAGGCCUACCUGCGCAUGGCUCACGCCAUGGAGGAGGUCAAGAAGUUCCUGUUCCCGGACAUGAUGGAUGAUAUUUGUCAGGAGCAGUUCCGGGAGAUGAACUACCUGAAUGGGGCACCAGAGCACCCCCCUCGGGGCCGGGGAGGCCCCCCAGUCAGAGGCCGAGGGGUGCCCCACCCACCCUCUGCACCGCUAAGGGGUAGGGGCAUUCCACCGCGUGGUGGCGCCCCCCGUGGAGGACCCCCCAGAGGCGGUGCGGUAAGAGGCGCCCCGUCGGGACGAGGGGGACCCCCGGCCCAGCCCACCAGGGGAGUAGCUCCCACUCGUGCCCACCCACCCGCCCCCGGGCCCCAGCGGAUGGCCCCACCACCACCACACCCACCUGCACAGGAGACGUAUGAAGAAUAUGCUUAUGACGAGAGCUACACAGAUCCAUCUUAUGAGUCAUAUGACAACUACUACAAUCAGACACAGGCAGAGCCAGAGUAUUAUGACUACGGACACGGAGAGACGCAAGAAAGUUACGACUCGUAUGCUCAGGACGACUGGAAUGGAACUCCGCGCCCAGCCCCCGGAGCCAAGGCCCCACCCGCAAGGCCAGCGAAAGGAACAUACCGGGAACACCGCUACGCACCGUACUGAGCCCCUAAAGAGCGGAACAGUCUCCCCUUCCUUAACGCGUCGCCAUGACAACUGUCUCCCACGGCAGCUCACGCUUUAAGCAACCCCAACAAAAGUAGUGCGAGUGUGGAUCACUGCGAAGGCUUGAAGGAGUUGAAGUAGAACCGAAACUAUUGAAGUCUUGGCUCAGGGAAGGCCCUCGUCACAGUAGCGCCGUAUGAGGAGCACAUGCAGAAUGGUCUCGAGCUCCAAGCCGUGUGGAUCCAGUCUAGUGUCUCCUCAUUCUCAAGCGAAGAUGGGUAGACACAGAGAGAGAGAGAGAGAGAGAGCGAGAGAGUGUGAGUGAGGCACAGAGAAAGAGAGAGCCUCAGGGAAGACCUUGUGUGGAAGGCUGGGAAUGGUGGUCGUGGUUGAAAGGGGGGGGGGGGGGGGUGGCGAUGCCGCAUGCCCUCCUUUUGAGUGAAGAGGAAGAAAAAUCGAUGUGGUCUGCUGCAGGCCAGGCAAAAUGAGGGUGGCAGAAAGCACUCAUCGGGCCGGAUCAAAAUAAAAGCCUCACUUCCUCGUGACGAGCCCGAAAGGGGAUGGGGAAGGGGUGGGCCGGCCAGCUGUGUGUUCUGAGGUUACUGCCUAAUGUGUUUCGAGAAGAGCAGGAAUCAUUAUUCCACCCCAGAUCCCUCUUAGAUUCCGUGCGUGCGUGCGUGUGUGUGUGUGUGUGUGUGUGUGUGAGGGCAUGCGUUGGGCAUACACUUGUGUGUCCACAGGAAAGGGUCUCUGAAGCACACUUAAUGCUGUCUUUAAAAUGACCACUCGCUGUUGCCACCGCCGGCCAUGAAAUCGCUUCAUUUUAACAAGCACCCUGAGUUCCAUCCGCGCUCGCCUGCUGAUGCUCUGCUUCUUGUAAUGCCAUUACGUUUCAUUUACUUUUGCCUCUUCGCUUGUCUCUGUGGUGUGUGUGUGAUGUUUUUUUUGUUUUUUUUUAAAGCAAACCAAGAGUACUGUUUGUUCAAGCCAUCACCCAUGGUUGCAUGCACCCUUACACAAUGGAAUGUGUGGAAUGGAAAGAAGCGACCUAUGUCUUUGUAGCUCCUCUGUCGUGUGCCUUAAUUGCCAUGCCGAUGUUGGUCCUGCUCUCGUGAGCAGAAGAAGUGCCCUAGUGAACGUGCCAGAGGAAGUGCCUUGCACUUAUCGCUGCGUUUGCAGAAUGAGUGCCCCCCCGCAAUUAAUAUUAACUGUACAGGCUCAGUUACUCUUCAGCAGCCAACAGACCCGCUUUUCUUUUCUCCCCCUCCCCCUCCCCCUUUUGCUUUAGAGGGGAUAGGAUGCUAAUGGUGCUUUAACUUAUGUAGUCAUUUCCCUCUUCUCUUCCUCCAGAGAUGUUGGAAACUGAAGGCUGCCUUGCACUCAUCAUUCUGUCACAUAUGCGCGCAAACACACACACUCACUCACUCACACUCUCUCUCUCUCUCUCUCUCUCUCUCUCUCUCUCUCGUAAAUGUAUUCAUUGACAAACUUCGCAGCUGCAGCACUCUUCAUCUGUGUGUGUGUGUGUAUGUGUUUUUCAAGCUUUUCCAGUGAAACUCAUCCCCCACCACACACACGCACACAAACACGUUGAAUGCAAGCAUGCCAUUUCAACCAAUUACUGCUGAUGACAGUUCCUCUGUCCCCCAGAGGUAGUGCUGAUUGCUGACUGGCUAACGGGCCCCAGCGUUAUUACAUUAGACAGAAAUCACUCCUCACCGCAGAUUUUAAUAAGCAUUAGCCACAGCUCAAGCUCCAUCGAACAAUUGGAAAAAGAGGGGGGAAAAACUGCUGCGACAAGCUCCGUGAGUCUGUAACCGGGGGGAGGGGAGUGUCGUUAUAAUGAGAAAUCUCCAAAGCAGAUAAUGGAAAUGUUUCAUGAAGGCUUUCGCCGGCACUUGGUGUUGGCCACAGAAGUGGGAUUUUUAUAAAACAGAAAACCUAGGAACUUCUGGCGGAAAAUGUGAAUUCUAUUCAAGCUUGACUGAUAGAGCUUAACAGAGCAGUUCUUUUUAUAGUCCACACACACACAUACACACAGAGUUGUUGCCUGAAGUGGAGCGCUCUGUGAUGGAAAAGCCUGACCCGUACCUUCAGGGCUCGAUCUUGUGGUGCAUUGACUGUGGUAGGCGUGACAGACUGGUAAAAAUGCCACCGCUGUCGGCUCUCGUGUGGGGGGCAUGCCCUUGCUGAGGCUACGCAGGGUCUUUUGGCUCUCUCUCUCACACACACACACACUCUGCUGAGGCUAUGCAGGGUCAACUAAAACCAACUCUGUCCUUCACCUGUCACGUCGUUUCUUUUCAUGCAUGGAGACUGUUGAACUUGCCUUUAGUUUCUUUUAUUUCGUGUCCUUCAUGCAUGACCCAAGCAGACAAACGUGGCUACUGAGCUGCAUGGCCUCUGCUUGAUUUAUAUAACGACUAGUUCUCCUGAACAGGGUUGCAGUGUCCACUAAUUCCAUGCAGAGCAUGCUGCAUUUGGCUCAGUGUCGCUGCUUCCUGGUGCUUAUUCAGAAACCCAUAUCCUGUUUGACCUUUGUGACCAAACACUACUGAACCAAAAUGGUUACGAAGUUUUUAACCAGGCUGCAUUGAAUCGUGUCAGUUGUUUACAAUCAAUUUUCUCGGUCCAGCACAUUGUUUGCGUGUUCUACAUAAGCUAACAACUCGACUCAACAACAAAAAGUUUAGAGUUAUGCGCCCUCCAGUUAUCUUUUUGCUCCUUGACUUCUGUGUUUUGUCAUGUUAAUGAUCCAAGUGCUGCAUUAAUCUUUGUCUGAUUACAUGCUUGUAGAAAUGCAUAUAUUUUGGUUAAAUUAUACUUCUUUCAGGGCAAAUGUUAGUGGAGCAAAUGUUCCGGCAAGUCAUUAAUAUACAUCAGGUGCUUUGAUCCAUACUGUUUACUCUUAAAGGAGGCGGUUUGGCUUUUGUUUUCUUUUUCUUUUUCAAGGUUUUGAAUGUAUGCUUUCUUUUUACAGUACGGUCCAGUUAACUAUAGUUUUUUUCUGUUUAAACCCAGAGGUAUUAAUAUUCUCAAGGAAAUGUUACCUAGUUGUUCUUGGGAUUGAAGCCAAAAAUAAAGGUACUCAUGAUUUCCAUUAA